rnacentral:rRNA from 1 species
CCUGCGGGGGACAGCAGUGGGGAAUAUUGGACAAUGGGCGAAAGCCUGAUCCAGCCAUGCCGCGUGUGUGAAGAAGGCCUUCGGGUUGUAAAGCACUUUCAGUGGGGAAGAAAGCCUUGGGGCUAAUACCCUCGAGGAAGGACAUCACCCACAGAAGAAGCACCGGCUAACUCCGUGCCAGCAGCCGCGGUAAUACGGAGGGUGCGAGCGUUAAUCGGAAUUACUGGGCGUAAAGCGCGCGUAGGCGGUCUGAUAAGCCGGUUGUGAAAGCCCCGGGCUCAACCUGGGAACGGCAUCCGGAACUGUCAGGCUAGAGUGCAGGAGAGGAAGGUAGAAUUCCCGGUGUAGCGGUGAAAUGCGUAGAGAUCGGGAGGAAUACCAGUGGCGAAGGCGGCCUUCUGGACUGACACUGACGCUGAGGUGCGAAAGCGUGGGUAGCAAACAGGAUUAGAUACCCCAGUAGUC